GUCGAGCGCACAGGUUUACCUGUGAGCGGCAGACGGGUGAGUAACGCGUGGGAAUCUACCUUAAGCUGCGGGAUAACAGAGAGAAAUUUCUGCUAAUACCGCAUGUGCCCGAAAGGGGAAAGAUUUAUCGGCUUAAGAUGAGCCCGCGUUGGAUUAGCUGGUUGGUGGGGUAAAGGCCUACCAAGGCGACGAUCCAUAGCUGGUCUGAGAGGAUGAUCAGCCACACUGGGACUGAGACACGGCCCAGACUCCUACGGGAGGCAGCAGUGGGGAAUAUUGGACAAUGGGCGCAAGCCUGAUCCAGCCAUGCCGCGUGAGUGAUGAAGGCCUUAGGGUUGUAAAGCUCUUUCACCGGAGAAGAUAAUGACGGUAUCCGGAGAAGAAGCCCCGGCUAACUUCGUGCCAGCAGCCGCGGUAAUACGAAGGGGGCUAGCGUUGUUCGGAAUUACUGGGCGUAAAGAGCGCGUAGGCGGAGAGAUAAGUCAGGGGUGAAAUCCCGGGGCUCAACCCCGGAAUUGCCUUUGAUACUGUUUUUCUUGAGUGCAGAAGAGGUAAGUGGAAUUCCGAGUGUAGAGGUGAAAUUCGUAGAUAUUCGGAGGAACACCAGUGGCGAAA
rnacentral:rRNA from 2 species